rnacentral:rRNA from 1 species
GAUGAACGCUGGCGGCGUGCCUAAUACAUGCAAGUCGAGCGAACGGACGAGAAGCUUGCUUCUCUGAUGUUAGCGGCGGACGGGUGAGUAACACGUGGAUAACCUACCUAUAAGACUGGGAUAACUUCGGGAAACCGGAGCUAAUACCGGAUAAUAUUUUGAACCGCAUGGUUCAAAAGUGAAAGACGGUCUUGCUGUCACUUAUAGAUGGAUCCGCGCUGCAUUAGCUAGUUGGUAAGGUAACGGCUUACCAAGGCAACGAUGCAUAGCCGACCUGAGAGGGUGAUCGGCAACACUGGAACUGAGACACGGUCCAGACUCCUACGGGAGGCAGCAGGAGGGAAUCUUCAGCAAUGGGCGAAAGCCUGACGGAGCAACGCCGCGUGAGUGAUGAAGGUCUUCGGAUCGUAAAACUCUGUUAUUAGGGAAGAACAUAUGUGUAAGUAACUGUGCACAUCUGGACGGUACCUAAUCAGAAAGCCACGGCUAACUACGU